CCUACGGGGUGCAGCAGUGGGGAAUAUUGGACAAUGGGCGAAAGCCUGAUCCAGCCAUGCCGCGUGUGUGAAGAAGGCCUUCGGGUUGUAAAGCACUUUCAGUGGGGAAGAAAGCCUUGGGGCUAAUACCCUCGAGGAAGGACAUCACCCACAGAAGAAGCACCGGCUAACUCCGUGCCAGCAGCCGCGGUAAUACGGAGGGUGCGAGCGUUAAUCGGAAUUACUGGGCGUAAAGCGCGCGUAGGCGGUCUGAUAAGCCGGUUGUGAAAGCCCCGGGCUCAACCUGGGGACGGCAUCCGGAACUGUCAGGCUAGAGUGCAGGAGAGGAAGGUAGAAUUCCCGGUGUAGCGGUGAAAUGCGUAGAGAUCGGGAGGAAUACCAGUGGCGAAGGCGGCCUUCUGGACUGACACUGACGCUGAGGUGCGAAAGCGUGGGUAGCAAACAGGAUUAGAUACCCUUGUAGUC
rnacentral:rRNA from 1 species